UACGAAGGGGGCUAGCGUUGCUCGGAAUCACUGGGCGUAAAGGGUGCGUAGGCGGAUCUUUAAGUCAGGGGUGAAAUCCUGGAGCUCAACUCCAGAACUGCCUUUGAUACUGGCGAUCUUGAGUCCGGGAGAGGUGAGUGGAACUGCGAGUGUAGAGGUGAAAUUCGUAGAUAUUCGCAAGAACACCAGUGGCGAAGGCGGCUCACUGGCCCGGUACUGACGCUGAGGUGCGAAAGCGGUGGGGAGCAAACAGGGAUUAAGAUACCCG
rnacentral:rRNA from 1 species